rnacentral:rRNA from 1 species
CCUACGGGGGGCUGCAGUAAGGAAUAUUGGUCAAUGGACGAAAGUCUGAACCAGCCAUCCCGCGUGCAGGAUGAAAGCCCUAUGGGUUGUAAACUGCUUUUAGCAGAGAAGAAAAGCUUUCAUUAAUGAGAGUCUGACGGUAUCUGCAGAAUAAGCACCGGCUAACUCCGUGCCAGCAGCCGCGGUAAUACGGAGGGUGCGGGCGUUAUCCGGAUUUACGGGGUCUAAGGCGUGGGUAGACGGAGGUGGUGAAAUCUUGUCGCUUAACGAUAGAAUUGCCAAUGAUACUGGUACUCGUGAGUUGUGUUGAGGUUAGCGGAAUGUGACAUGUAGCGGUGAAAUGCAUAGAUAUGUCAUGGAACACCAAUUGCGAAGGCAGCUAACUGGUCCUUGAUUGACGCUGAGGCACGAAAGCGUGGGUAGCGAACAGGAUUAGAUACCCCAGUAGUC